UGGGGGAUAUUGCACAAUGGGCGAAAGCCUGAUGCAGCGACGCCGCGUGGGGGAUGAAGGCCUUCGGGUUGUAAACUUCUUUUGCUCUGAACAAGGCAUGCUAAUGGGUGUGUUGAGUGUAGGGGUUGAUUAGCGCCGGCUAACUACGUGCCAGCAGCCGCGGGAAUACGUAGGGCGCGAGCGUUGUCCGGCAUUAUUGGGCGUAAAGGGCUUGUAGGUGGCUGGUUGCGUCUGUCGUGAAAGCUCAUGGCUUAACUGUGGGUUUGCGGUGGGUACGGGCUGGCUUGAGUGCAGUAGGGGAGGCUGGAAUUCCUGGUGUAGCGGUGGAAUGCGCAGAUAUCAGGAGGAAUACCGGUGGCGAAGGCGGGUCUCUGGGCUGUUACUGACACUGAGGAGCGAAAGCAUGGGGAGCGAACAGG
rnacentral:rRNA from 1 species